ACCUGAGAGUCAAAGGGAGUGUGGACUUGAGACAUUCCAUGUCAUGUGCAUUAUAGCAUUAUUUUGAUCAGAAAAGGAUCACUUCUUUCUCCUUAUAUGUUAAGUUUGAUGCCUUUUCCAAUGACAUCUAUUGGUGCUUUUCCACUGAGACUUACCCCCAAAGUAGUGCGUCACCAGUGUUUUAUGUUAAUGUAAGCUUUAAUGUUAUGGUGUUUCCAUUAGGAGUGUGACACUAAAGACUUGUGGCGGGCAGAUCAGCAACCUCUGCAUCAUGCAAGACUUUCUUUAUGAGAAGGUGUUAAAGUUCAGUUAGCCAUUGUUACGUACAGUCAGUGGCCUGUAGCCAUGAAGGGAUGCAUCGGGUCAACAACAAUAUCCAGAUACGCUGUGGCAUUCAAGCGUUGCUUAAUUGGUAUCAAGGGACCUAACGUGUGGCAGGAAAACAUUCCCUAUACCACCGCCACCAGCCUGUACCGUUGACACCAGGUAGGAUGGGGCCAUGGACUCUGCCAUCAGAAUGACAACAGGAACCAGGAUUCGUCAUGACCAGGCAAUGUUUUUCCACUCCUCAAUUGCCUAGUGUUGGUGAUCACGUGCCCACUAGUGCUGCUGCUUGUUAUUUUUAGCUGAUAGUGUGGGAGAAAGGUAGACUUGCUGAGGGAAAGAAAAAUAGAAAUACAUUAGCUAGCGAAAGAGGAGACUGGCAGCUGACCCUGAGUGGAGAUAACAGGUGGCCAUACAUCCCCAAGUAGGAACCACGGAACGGCCAGGCAAGCUGAAUGUAUGGCCAUGACUAAAUAUAUGCCAAGCGUAAGCAUGCAAUGCAGGCAUUAUUUUCAUAUCCAUAUGAGGAGAGUCUAGCCACUACUAUGUUAGAGCUAAAAGCAGAUAUGGGCGUUAUCCAGCCACUACUAUGUUAGAGCUAAAAGCAGAUAUGGGCGUUAUCCAUUGGGUUGAAAGAAAAUGGUGGCAGAACGCAUAGGGGGUUUUACUUCAUUUACAUAAAGGAUGGACCUAUGUAUUGUAUAUGCAUAAAAGCAGAGCCGGGGCCUAAGGAAGGCAGUUGUUGUCCGCGGACCGGCUCGGCUUUAUUACUCUAUUAAAGUCUAUAUUGAACUUA